UACGUAGGAGGCGAGGGUUGUCCGGAAUUACUGGGCGUAAAGGGCGCGUAGGCGGCCUGUUAAGUCGAACGUGAAAUCCCCGGGCUUAACCCGGGAACUGCGUCCGAUACUGGCAGGCUUGAAUCCGGGAGAGGGAUGCGGAAUUCCAGGUGUAGCGGUGAAAUGCGUAGAUAUCUGGAGGAACACCGGUGGCGAAGGCGGCAUCCUGGACCGGCAUUGACGCUGAGGCGCGAAAGCCAGGGGAGCAAACGGG
rnacentral:rRNA from 1 species